rnacentral:lncRNA from 1 species
AUUGUAUCUUUGCAGGUUUCUUGCACGUCUGACACAGAUGGAUCCAGCUAGAUGUCUUGCCAACAGCUCCUGUGGCCCCACCCAGAAGCCAUGCAGCACAAAAGGACCAAAAGGACAGCUAGAUUUCAUCUCGCACCUAACCAAUCAGCACUCCCCAUGCCCUAGCCCCCUGUUCACCAAACUACCUUUGAACAACCCCUAACCUAUGAGCCUUCAAUUGUAACCGAGCAGCUUAGCAGCUGUGAAUCCAAAAUAUCUGAGNNNNNNGAGGUUGCAGUGAGCCAAGACUGUGCCAUUGCACUCCAGCCUGCGCAACAAGAGCGAGACUCCGUCUUAAA